rnacentral:rRNA from 1 species
GGAGAGUUUGAUCCUGGCUCAGGAUGAACGCUGGCGGCGUGCCUAAUACAUGCAAGUCGAGCGAACGGACGAGAAGCUUGCUUCUCUGAUGUUAGCGGCGGACGGGUGAGUAACACGUGGAUAACCUACCUAUAAGACUGGGAUAACUUCGGGAAACCGGAGCUAAUACCGGAUAAUAUUUUGAACCGCAUGGUUCAAAAGUGAAAGACGGUCUUGCUGUCACUUAUAGAUGGAUCCGCGCUGCAUUAGCUAGUUGGUAAGGUAACGGCUUACCAAGGCAACGAUGCAUAGCCGACCUGAGAGGGUGAUCGGCCACACUGGAACUGAGACACGGUCCAGACUCCUACGGGAGGCAGCAGUAGGGAAUCUUCCGCAAUGGGCGAAAGCCUGACGGAGCAACGCCGCGUGAGUGAUGAAGGUCUUCGGAUCGUAAAACUCUGUUAUUAGGGAAGAACAUAUGUGUAAGUAACUGUGCACAUCUUGACGGUACCUAAUCAGAAAGCCACGGCUAACUACGUGCCAGCAGCCGCGGUAAUACGUAGGUGGCAAGCGUUAUCCGGAAUUAUUGGGCGUAAAGCGCGCGUAGGCGGUUUUUUAAGUCUGAUGUGAAAGCCCACGGCUCAACCGUGGAGGGUCAUUGGAAACUGGAAAACUUGAGUGCAGAAGAGGAAAGUGGAAUUCCAUGUGUAGCGGUGAAAUGCGCAGAGAUAUGGAGGAACACCAGUGGCGAAGGCGACUUUCUGGUCUGUAACUGACGCUGAUGUGCGAAAGCGUGGGGAUCAAACAGGAUUAGAUACCCUGGUAGUCCACGCCGUAAACGAUGAGUGCUAAGUGUUAGGGGGUUUCCGCCCCUUAGUGCUGCAGCUAACGCAUUAAGCACUCCGCCUGGGGAGUACGACCGCAAGGUUGAAACUCAAAGGAAUUGACGGGGACCCGCACAAGCGGUGGAGCAUGUGGUUUAAUUCGAAGCAACGCGAAGAACCUUACCAAAUCUUGACAUCCUUUGACAACUCUAGAGAUAGAGCCUUCCCCUUCGGGGGACAAAGUGACAGGUGGUGCAUGGUUGUCGUCAGCUCGUGUCGUGAGAUGUUGGGUUAAGUCCCGCAACGAGCGCAACCCUUAAGCUUAGUUGCCAUCAUUAAGUUGGGCACUCUAAGUUGACUGCCGGUGACAAACCGGAGGAAGGUGGGGAUGACGUCAAAUCAUCAUGCCCCUUAUGAUUUGGGCUACACACGUGC